CAGCACCUCAAGUGGUCAGGAUGAUUAUUGGGCCUAAAGCAUCCGUAGCCUGCUUUGUCAGUUUUCGGUUAAAUCCAUACGCUCAACGUAUGGGCUGCCGGGAAUACUGCAAAGCUAGGGAGUGGGAGAGGUAGACGGUACUCGGUAGGAAGGGGUAAAAUCCUUUGAUCUAUUGAUGACCACCUGUGGCGAAGGCGGUCUACCAGAACACGUUCGACGGUGAGGGAUGAAAGCUGGGGGAGCAAACCGGAUUAGAUACCCGAGUAGUCC
rnacentral:rRNA from 1 species